UCUAAUUCUAUCCUAAAAAUUAACUAUACAAUUAAAUCCUACCGGACGUACUUGGUUCUUAUUAAGAAAAUGAUAUUGAUUUCUGAUCAGUGGUAAACGCUGUAAAAAUAUUAAUAAAUAAGAGGUACGGAUCAACCCUUGUUAUUUGAAACCCAAUCGUAGUUUAAAUUGCAGGGCAAAUGAGUCAUAUCGUAUCCGAGUUUCUAACGCCAGGCUAGGGGAAG
rnacentral:misc_RNA from 1 species